rnacentral:misc_RNA from 1 species
UCAUGCACCAACACAAACAAAUAUUUAAAUCUUAGAGAGAGAGAAUCCUAAAAAUAUGUUGGCAAGUCCUGUGAGCAUAAUGCCUCUCUAUAGUCUAUAGUCAACCUGCAGGCUCAUUAGGCUGAAUUGCAUGACUUGAUGAUGAGUGUGCUUGUGCCUGCAGUGAAUCCUGUUUUGAAACCAAGGCACCCAUCUUUUCAAUGAGAUUCUGCAUAUUCGAAGUCAUCCUAGCUAUCUGAGCUUCCAGGGAUGCAUACUUUCGCUCCAUGGCCUCCAUUUUAUAUGAAAUUUUGCUUGACUCCUCAUUAGAUGAUCUUUUGGCCUCCAAAGCCAUCCUCUUGUGACUAGAAGUGCUGGGUCGGCACAAAAGGCCAGCAGGACUUGGACUCAACCCAAACAUGCUCCCAUGGCCACGUUUUUCUUCUCCCAUAACUUGGCAGUAGGUGUCAUCACGAUCAUCUCUUCCAUGUGAAGUCUGCUGUUUUUGAGUUG